rnacentral:rRNA from 1 species
UGCCAGCCGCCGCGGUAAUACGGAGGGUGCAAGCGUUGUUCGGAAUUAUUGGGCGUAAAGCGCGUGUAGGCGGCCUGUUAAGUCUGAUGUGAAAGCCCGGGGCUCAACCCCGGAAGUGCAUUGGAUACUGGCAGGCUAGAGGGCGAGAGAGGAUGGUGGAAUUCCUGGUGUAGGGGUGAAAUCCGUAGAUAUCAGGAGGAACACCGGAGGCGAAGGCGGCCAUCUGGCUCGCAUCUGACGCUGAGACGCGAAGGCGUGGGUAGCGAACGGGAUUAGAUA